UACGGAAGGCAGCAGUGGGGAAUAUUGGACAAUGGGCGGAAGCCUGAUCCAGCCAUGCCGCGUGUGUGAAGAAGGCCUUUUGGUUGUAAAGCACUUUUAAGCGAGGAGGAGGCUACUAGUACUAAUACUACUGGAUAGUGGACGUUACUCGCAGAAUAAGCACCGGCUAACUCUGUGCCAGCAGCCGCGGUAAUACAGAGGGUGCGAGCGUUAAUCGGAUUUACUGGGCGUAAAGCGUGCGUAGGCGGCUGAUUAAGUCGGAUGUGAAAUCCCUGAGCUUAACUUAGGAAUUGCAUUCGAUACUGGUCAGCUAGAGUAUGGGAGAGGAUGGUAGAAUUCCAGGUGUAGCGGUGAAAUGCGUAGAGAUCUGGAGGAAUACCGAUGGCGAAGGCAGCCAUCUGGCCUAAUACUGACGCUGAGUACGAAAGCAUGGGGAAGCAAACAGGGAUUAGAUAACC
rnacentral:rRNA from 1 species